GGAAGGGCCGUAUUUAUUAGAUAACAGACCAAUAUUCUUCGUGUCUAUUGUGGUGAAUCAUAGUAACUAAUCGGAUCGUAUGGGCUAGUCCCUCGACAAACCAUUCAAGUUUCUGCCCCAUCAGCUUUCGAUGGUAGUGUAUUGGACUACCAUGGCUUUCACGGGUAACGGAGGAUUAGGGUUCGAUUCCGGAGAGGGAGCCUGAGAAACGGCUACCACAUCUAAGGAAGGCAGCAGGCGCGUAAAUUACCCAAUUCUGACUCAGAGAGGUAGUG
rnacentral:rRNA from 1 species